UCUGAUAUAGCUCAGAGGUAGAGCAUUCGGCUCUUGGACCGAAUGGACACAGGUUCGAGCCCUGUUAUCAGAA
rnacentral:tRNA from 1 species